rnacentral:rRNA from 1 species
UGGGGAAUAUUGCACAAUGGGCGCAAGCCUGAUGCAGCCAUGCCGCGUGUAUGAAGAAGGCCUUCGGGUUGUAAAGUACUUUCAGCGGGGAGGAAGGGAGUAAAGUUAAUACCUUUGCUCAUUGACGUUACCCGCAGAAGAAGCACCGGCUAACUCCGUGCCAGCAGCCGCGGUAAUACGGAGGGUGCAAGCGUUAAUCGGAAUUACUGGGCGUAAAGCGCGCGCAGGCGGUUUGUUAAGUCAGAUGUGAAAUCCCCGGGCUCAACCUGGGAACUGCAUCUGAUACUGGCAAGCUUGAGUCUCGUAGAGGGGGGUAGAAUUCCAGGUGUAGCGGUGAAAUGCGUAGAGAUCUGGAGGAAUACCGGUGGCGAAGGCGGCCCCCUGGACGUAGACUGACGCUCAGGUGCGAAAGCGUGGGGAGCAAACAGG